rnacentral:tRNA from 1 species
GGAUUGUGGCUCAGGGGUAGAGCGCUCGCCUAGCACAUGGAGAGCCCUGGGUUUGAUCCUCAGCACCA